rnacentral:rRNA from 1 species
UACAGAGGGUGCGAUCGUUAAUCGGAAUUACUGGGCGUAAAGCGUGCGUAGACGGUUAUUUAAGUCGGAUGUGAAAGCCCCGGGCUCAACCUGGGAAUUGCAUUCGAGACUGAAUAGCUAGGGUACGGUAGAGGGAAGUGGAAUUUCCGGUGUAGCGGUGAAAUGCGUAGAUAUCGGAAGGAACAUCAGUGGCGAAAGCGACUUCCUGGACCAGUACCGACGUUCAGGCACGAAAGCGUGGGGAGCAAACAGG